rnacentral:rRNA from 1 species
UACGGAGGGUGCAAGCGUUAUCCGGAUUUACUGGGUUUAAAGGGUGUGUAGGCGGGCUUUUAAGUCAGUGGUGAAAUCUCCGGGCUCAACCCGGAAACUGCCAUUGAUACUAUUAGUCUUGAAAUAUUGUUGAGGUAGGCGGAAUAAGUCAUGUAGCGGUGAAAUGCAUAGAUAUGACUUAGAACACCGAUUGCGAAGGCAGCUUACUAAACAAUUAUUGACGCUGAGGCACGAAAGCGUGGGGAUCAAACAGG